AUGGCACAACCUAAUGUCAACAUCAUCUGUUGGAACGUUCGAGGCCUGAACUCGCGUGCCCGCCGGGAUGCCGUUCGGGACAUAGUCCGAGACUCCCAUGCAUCCAUUGUCUGCCUCCAAGAGACAAAACUCCAGGCCGUUGAUGACGCCACCAUCUGCGAGAUGCUUGGCCCGUGUUUCGUCGCAAACUGUUAUAUCCUCCCGGCCGACGACACCCGCGGGGGCUUGAUUCUGGCCGCGUCGGAUCGCUUCUUCACCCUAUCCGACUUCCAUGCAACUCCGGGCUCCAUCUCCGCCACCGUCACCAUGCUUAACGAGCGCGCUUCGUGGACAAUCACGGGCAUCUAUGGCCCGCAGGGCGAGCAAGACAAGUUGGCCUUCAUUGAGGAGCUGAGGACUCUCAAGACCAUGGCCAGAAGCGAGUGGCUCCUUCUGGGGGAUUUCAACCUCAUCACUAAAGCGGUGGAUAAGAGCAACACCAACAUCAACCGCCGCCUGGUGGGCAAGUUCCGUGGGGCUCUUGAUUUCUUGCAGCUAAAGGAGCUUCACCUAGGCGGGCGCCGUUUCACCUGGUCAAAUGCGUAG
rnacentral:rRNA from 1 species